UACGGAGGGUGCAAACGGUGCUCGGAAUCAUUGGGCGUAAAGCGCACGUAGGCGGUUCGUUAAGUCGGGUGUGAAAGCCCUGGGCUCAACCCAGGAAGUGCAUCCGAAACUGGCGAGCUGGAGUAUGGAAGAGGGUCGCGGAAUUCCCGGUGUAGAGGUGAAAUUCGUAGAUAUCGGGAGGAACACCAGUGGCGAAGGCGGCGACCUGGGCCAAUACUGACGCUGAGGUGCGAAAGCGUGGGGAGCAAACAGG
rnacentral:rRNA from 1 species